rnacentral:rRNA from 1 species
UGGGGAAUAUUGCACAAUGGGCGCAAGCCUGAUGCAGCCAUGCCGCGUGUAUGAAGAAGGCCUUCGGGUUGUAAAGUACUUUCAGCGGGGAUGAAGGGAGUAAAGUUAAUACCUUUGCUCAUUGACGUUACCCGCAGAAGAAGCACCGGCUAACUCCGUGCCAGCAGCCGCGGUAAUACGGAGGGUGCAAGCGUUAAUCGGAAUUACUGGGCGUAAAGCGCACGCAGGCGGUUUGUUAAGUCAGAUGUGAAAUCCCCGGGCUCAACCUGGGAACUGCAUCUGAUACUGGCAAGCUUGAGUCUCGUAGAGGGGGGUAGAAUUCCAGGUGUAGCGGUGAAAUGCGUAGAGAUCUGGAGGAAUACCGGUGGCGAAGGCGGCCCCCUGGACGAAGACUGACGCUCAGGUGCGAAGGCGUGGGGAGCAAACA